UACGGAGGAUCCAAGCGUUAUCCGGAUUUAUUGGGUUUAAAGGGUGCGCAGGCGGAAGAUUAAGUCGGCGGUGAAAUUUUGCAGCUCAACUGUAAAAGUGCCAUCGAUACUGGUUUUCUUGAGUGUGGAUGAAGUAGGCGGAAUUUGUGGUGUAGCGGUGAAAUGCAUAGAUAUCACGAGGAACUCCGAUUGCGCAGGCAGCUUACUAAACUACUACUGACGCUCAGGCACGAAGGCGUGGGGAGUCAAACAGGAUUAGAUACCCU
rnacentral:rRNA from 1 species